CGCGACCAAGCAGCGGCCACCGCGGGCCGCGGUAGUGUCUCGUCGCCCUCACAGAACACCGUCUCGCCGCCGCCGAAGCCCCUCCUUGCUCCCGUUCUCCGCGCGCCAGAUCGACACAUUCCUCGAUCUCAGCCACCGCCAGCGCCGGCUCCGCGGUGCCCAAUUCCUCAAACCCUAGAGCCAAAUCCCCCAUUUGGCCGCGCCUAACAGAGCCGGAUUUACUCGGCGCUGGCUGGUGCGAGCGGCGAAUCGAGUCCCCUCCCGUGCACUGCUCCACAUGUCGCACCGCGUGUACGCAUGAACUCGUCCAUGGACGAGAUCAACCUGCUACGGCAGCACCAGCGACACCAGCAGCACCACCUGUCGGUGCGCGGCAUCGGUGAGGAGAUCGACCUCGAGAUCGACCAGUGUGAAGAUCCCACUUUCUCGGGCGCCGCACUCGAGGGCGUGACCUCCCAUCACCCUCAAGACCCCGUCGUCCCUGCCGAUGACCACAAGAGCUUCCUCAUCCCGUGCUCGCAGCCUGGCGCAGUGGACGGCCAACCGCAGCCCACGCCACCGCAAGCAGAGGAACGGGCAGGGAUGCUGAGGCUGUCGGCGCAUACCAAGAAGAAGAAGAAGGUGGUCAAGAAAUGGCGGGAUGAGUGGGCGGACACAUACAAGUGGGCCUAUGUGGCCGUGCACGACAACACCAGCAGAAUCUUCUGCACCGUUUGCAAGGAGUAUGGCCGCAAGCAUCGCCGGAACCCCUAUGGGAACGAGGGGAGCAGGAACAUGCAGAUGAGUGCGCUAGAGGAGCACAACAAUAGCUUGCUGCAUAAGGAGGCGCUCCGACUGCAGUCAGCCUCCAAGGAGAAGGUGCAAACUCCUGAGAUAGAGAGGCCGGUUUGUGUCAAAGCUUUGUCGAAAACAGCAGCUUCAAUACUUGAAUCUCUCUUCAAGAAGGACCCUCAUGAAGCUGAAUUUAUACAGUCUAUACAGGAGGUGGUUCAUUCUAUAGAACCAGUUUUGGUGAAGAACUCACAAUAUGUUCAGAUAUUGGAGCGUUUAUUAGAACCUGAGAGAUGUUUUAUCUUCAGAGUGCCAUGGGUUGAUGACAGAGGUGAAGCUCAUGUCAAUCGAGGUUUCCGUGUGCAGUUCAGUCAGGCUUUAGGUCCAUGCAGAGGUGGUCUCCGUUUCCACCCGUCCAUGAACUUAAGUGUGGCAAAGUUUCUAGCUUUUGAGCAGACUCUGAAGAAUGCUCUGUCACUAUAUAAACUUGGAGGUGCUGCUGGAGGGAGCGAUUUUGAUCCAAAGGGUAAAAGUGAAAUUGAGGUAAUGCGCUUUUGUCAAAGUUUCAUGGAUGAGCUGUAUAGAUACUUGGGCCCUGAUCAGGAUUUUCCUGCUGAAGAUGUUGGUGUUGGUCCAAGGGAAAUGGGUUUCCUUUUUGGGCAGUACAGACGCCUUUCUGGUCAUUUUCAGGGAAAUUUUACAGGGCCUAAGAUCUUCUGGUCUGGUUCUAGUUUUAGAACAGAAGCUACUGGAUACGGACUGGUAUUUUUUGCACGUGUUGUACUUGCUGAUAUGAAUAAGGAGCUCAAAGGAUUAAGAUGUGCGAUAAGUGGUUCAGGAAAGAUAGCAAUGCAUGUCUUGGAAAAGCUUCUGUCGUGUGAAGCUAUUCCUGUUACAGUCUCAGAUUCAGAAGGCUAUCUAUUUGAUGGAGACGGGUUUGAUUAUGUGAAAUAUACACUUAUAAGGAAUAUUAAGGCACAACAAAGGAGCCUCAAGGAAUACUUGAAAACAUUUCCACGUGCCAAAUAUAUCAAUGAUGCUAAGCCAUGGGGUGAGCAGUGUGAUAUUGCAUUCCCUUGUGCAUCACAAAAUGAGAUUGACCAGGGGGAGGCUCUUUCAAUAAUUAGCUCUGGUUGCCGUGUUCUUAUAGAAUGUUCAAACAUGCCAUGCACUGGUCAAGCAGUUGAUAUCCUAAGAAAGGCAAAAGUCCAUGUUGCUCCAGCAAAGGCAACUGCUGCUGGUGGGGUAGCAGUCGGUGAACUUGAACUGAAUCCAGAGUUCAGCUUAAUGCAGUGGUCAGUAGAGGAUUUCGAGAACAAAAUACAGGUAUAAGCCGCUGCUUCUGCCCGUUGGUGGCUACCCUUCCAUUUUUCGAUAAAGGGCGUAUUUAUUAACUCAAAAUGUAGCAUCAAGCGGAUAGAAAGCAUGAUGAGAAACACACGGCCUCUGCAUAACUAAGAUCCACACAGCCAAAUACUAACAAAUUGACCCCAAAAAACAACAUAUCGGCAACGUAGUCAUAUAAGAUCGACACUAUGCCUAUGUCGAAGGAGGUGGCUACCCUUCCAUAUGUGGUAAAUUUUUUUUUUGCGACUUUCCAUAUGUGGUAAUAUGAAGCCCUACUAAGUUUCUUCUUUUGGUUAAAACAGGAAGCAGUAAAGCAAACAUAUGACAGGUCGAUGAAAGCUGCUCAAGAAUAUGGAAUCCUGAAAGAGAACCCAGAGUCUUUGGUGCAUGGUGCAAACAUAUCGGCCUUCCUGAACAUUGCACAAGCCAUGACUGAUCAAGGAUGUGUGUAGUUAAGCGUUUUUGUUCUGUCAAGAAGCAGAAUUUGACAUCCCUGCAGGCUGCAGCCAUGAUCUCUGGUUGUACUGUGGUUGCUGCAGCCAUUUGACGCUUAUUCGUAGCCUCCCUCACAGAUCACUGUUUUACGUUUAUUGGUAGCCUCCCUCACAGAUCAAUUUUAUGUUUAGGCCUUGUCAAAGCUUUCCUCUGGUAUGAAGGAAAAGCUUAGAUCUAUUUAGAGUAUAGAAGUGUUUCCUGUUGUAGAUCCCCCAUGUAUUUAUUCAUUACUGCCAACAUCAAUGCUUGAAGAAGGAAAUGUUCCUUUUUUGUGU
rnacentral:rRNA from 1 species